rnacentral:rRNA from 1 species
CACUCCUGCGGGAGGCAGCAGUGGGGAAUAUUGGACAAUGGGCGCAAGCCUGAUCCAGCCAUGCCGCGUGAGUGAUGAAGGCCCUAGGGUUGUAAAGCUCUUUCACCGGUGAAGAUAAUGACGGUAACCGGAGAAGAAGCCCCGGCUAACUUCGUGCCAGCAGCCGCGGUAAUACGAAGGGGGCUAGCGUUGUUCGGAUUUACUGGGCGUAAAGCGCACGUAGGCGGACUAUUAAGUCAGGGGUGAAAUCCCGGGGCUCAACCCCGGAACUGCCUUUGAUACUGGUAGUCUUGAGUUCGAGAGAGGUGAGUGGAAUUCCGAGUGUAGAGGUGAAAUUCGUAGAUAUUCGGAGGAACACCAGUGGCGAAGGCGGCUCACUGGCUCGAUACUGACGCUGAGGUGCGAAAGCGUGGGGAGCAAACAGGAUUAGAAACCCUGGUAGUCCCAUG